UAAUUUUUUAUUAAAAUUUUCCGUCUUUAAAAUGAUAAUACAAGGGCAUAUUUAAUUCGCCGGCACGCAUUAAGAAUUCAAAAGCACGAAUCGCGUCUCUUUAAACUCGAGUGCAUUAAGAUAAUUGUCCGGUGCAACCGAAGACACUCACUUAAAUUGUAAGAAUUAUUCAAACCUCUGUAUCUAGCGACAAGGAUAGUCUAGAUUUAUAUUCUGUGAUUCUUCUACUCACAAGACUCAGUGGCCGUAUUUAAAUCUAUUCAAUGCAAGAAUAGUUGUAAUAAAAG